UAAUAAACAAAAGGGGAUAGGGUUAACAUUUGUGACCUUUCACCUUCACGUCUUCUUCCCCUCUCUCGACUCAGAACGCGGCGGCCGGAGAACUAACGUUCUCUUUCUCCGUCAAACAACGAACUCUCUCAUCUCCUCACCGAUUCCGUUCUCAAAUCUUGCUCUCACCUCUCCGAUUCCAUAACUCAAACUCCGGUCUCAAUCUCGUCUCUCUCUAAUUCGACAUGGCUCCGACGACCUUUCAAGCUCGUUGGAGAUGACGAGGAAAUCCGAUAAAUUCCUCAAGAACUCAGUUUUGCUGAAACGAAUCGAUUAUUGAGGUAGAGUGAUCUUUGAAGAUGAAGAAUCAAGAAGCGAUUAUGGAGAUGAUGAAGAAUUGGCUUUUUGGAUUUUCUGCAGGUUGAAUAUUGGUGAUUGAAUGAAUGAAGAUAGAUGAAGAUUGGGGAAGAAGAUUGAAAUAUUGGUGAUGAAGGAGAUUCAAGGUUGAACCAUGGAGAUUCUGAGAUGAAGAAGAUUGAAUGGGAAUUGAGAGUGAAGGAUGAAUGGAAGUGAAGGGCAUUGAGAAGUGAAGAGUUCUGUUUAUAUAGAGUUUCAGAGAAAAAUGGUGGAGAAACCAACUGAAGAAUGAUGAAGAUGUUAUAUGGAGAAGAUGAGAGAAUGGAGAAGUGGAAGAUUGAAGAUGUGAAAAUGGCGUCCCCGAUUGAAUGGAGGAGGAGCAGAAUAUAUAGGUGAGUCUCUUCUUGGCUUUUCUUCUGAAAUUCUGUUGUGGAGUGUAACUGAUCUGAAAAUUAGUUAGGAUAGGUGGUUAGGCUGUAACUGAAUCGGUUAUGGGUUGGUUUAGUUAGUUAGGGUUGAAAG